AAGCUUAACUAGAAUUUUCCAAAGCUGAAGCCUAUGGGAUGUGCUGCGGGGAUGAUUUCCACAAUCGAACUCUCUCUUUCUGAUGGCGUAGUGGAGAGAUCCGUAGGACAUUUCUGAGUAGCACCGAUCACUGCCUAGUUGCCCUUUUAUGCAAGCGCGGUCGAUCUCAGGCUAUGCUAAUGUGCACUGCUGUUAAUUUUUCAGAGCUGGUCAACCUCAGAAGAACGGAGACGUUGCGAGCUGGAGAAUGAGAUGUUAUGGGAUUUCUCCGUUGCUGAGGGACUGGGCCACCUCGCAGGAUGAAUCCAGGUUCUAAUGGUCCCUGGUGCCCACCCUGAUCGCUCUUAAUGGUACACAUUAAUCUUACCAGUGUCAGGAGCAGUUCCAUUUGCUACUGAAGAUUCCAAGUUGAAAGGUUAUGUGGCCAAGUAACAUGCUAGUUCUGAGCAUCUUGUCUGCAGCCAGAAUGACUUGAGCCAGGAACCGAUGCUGGAAAGUGACUUCGAUUCCCAACCAUUCUAUUGGAGGGAACCUGCCAGCCAUUGCCCUGUUGGGAGAGUUCAGUCUGGAAGUGAGGUGAGUUGAUGAGCAUAAUGGACCAUGUUGAGCGGUUUCCCAGUGACGAAACACCCAAAUGUCUUACCUCCUGUCCUAGACCCAGAGCCUGCAAAGGUGAACCCACUGGGACUGGCUGGGGGAAAAGAGGAAAUUUUGUUCCAGAAGGAACUGUCUGAGGGACUAGCUGUACUCUGCUGAAUGCAUUAAGUAGUGAUUCCCAUCUAAUAAGUGGUUCACUGUCUCUUUAUACAGGAAUCCAGCCUCGGAGGACACGGCUCUUUACAACCUGUCUGCAGUUCUAAAUAAAGAUAUGUGUUUUGACAUUGUUAA